UACGUAGGGGGCAAGCGUUGUCCGGAUUUAUUGGGCGUAAAGAGCGUGUAGGCGGUUUGGUAGGUCCGUUGUGAAAACUCGAGGCUCAACCUCGAGACGCCGAUGGAAACCAUCAGACUAGAGUCCGGAAGAGGAGAGUGGAAUUCCUGGUGUAGCGGUGAAAUGCGCAGAUAUCAGGAGGAACACCGGUGGCGAAGGCGGGUCUCUGGGCCAUCACUGACGCUGAGGAGCGAAAGCGUGGGGAGCGAACAGG
rnacentral:rRNA from 1 species